AUUAUUAGCUUUCAGCUUACAUUUUCCCGUUUACAGUUCAGCUUAUGGAUUUCGGAUGAUGAUUUUAGCUUAGUGAGUUUGUCUAAUGUUCUCACUCAUCUUGUAUUAAUUAUUAUCAUCUUUCUUUUAUAUAUUAGCUUGAGUCUAAUUUAUGAUUUAGUACCAGAAUUUUGAGUUUAUACGAUGUUAUGAUACAAACAUCAAGAAUAAUGAGUACAGUAAGGUAAAUGUAGCUCUAUGUAUGUAUGACCAGAUUAUAGAAUUCAGUCAUUCAGUUCUAAGAAUAAAGUUUUCAGUUUAUAGUAUUAGGUAACAAUAUUUCAUAGAUUAUCAUGGGUACCAAAAUUUGUUAUAUUUUAUAGUUCUUUAUCUCGAAUAAAGAACAAAGAAUCUUAUGAUGCAGUCAUGUUUUAGUUCUAAAGGUUUUAUCAGAUUUCAGAAUUCUCAAAGUGUUAAUAGAGCAAGAAUUUUAAGAAAAUAUGCAUAAAUGGAAAAAGUUUACUUAUCUGCAAAUUAACCACUCACUGAGCUAUUAGCUCAUAUUGCUUUUACCCUUUUUCCUUAUCAG
rnacentral:lncRNA from 1 species